UAACGAAAAGCAACCUCCCAUCUAUAGAACCACAAUCUAUUGUUUUAUUUUAAACUAUUUCGCU
rnacentral:tRNA from 1 species